rnacentral:rRNA from 1 species
CGUGCCUAACACAUGCAAGUCGAACGUGAGCCUGAUUUCGGUUGAGUGAAAGUGGCGAACGGGUGAGUAACACGUUGGUGACCUGCCCCGAGGUGGGGGAUAACUCCUCGAAAGAGGAGCUAAUACCCCGGAUGUCUGGACUGUUAGAGGGUUCAGACUAAAGCUAAGGCGGUUUUGGGGGGGCCUGCGGGCUAUUCAGCUAGUUGGUGAGGUAAUGGCUCACCAAGGCUCAGACGGCUAGGGGGCGUGAGAGCGUGACCCCCCACAAGGGAACUGAGAAACGGUCCCUACUCCUACGGGAGGCAGCAGUGAGGAAUAUUGAGCAAUGGGCGCAAGCCUGACUCAGCAACGCCGCGUGGACGAUGACGGCCUUCGGGUUGUAAAGUCCUUUUCUGGGGGACGAUGAUGACGGUACCCCAGGAACAAGUUCCGGCUAACUACGUGCCAGCAGCCGCGGUAAUACGUAGGGUGCUAGCGUUGUCCGGAUUUACUGGGCGUAAAGCGCAUGUAGGCGGUGUGAUAAGUCAGCCGUGAAAGCUCCCGGCUUAACUGGGAGAGGUCGUUUGAAACUAUCCGACUGGAGGUUGGAAGAGGAGAGUGGAAUUCCCGGUGUAGUGGUGGAAUGCGUAGAUAUCGGGAGGAACCCCGGUGGCGAAGGCGGCUCUCUGGACCAAUUCUGACGCUGAGCUGCGAAAGCGUGGGUAGCGAACGGGAUUAGAAACCCCGGUAGUCCUGGCCGUAAACGAUGCCAACUGGGCGUUGGGGCGAACAGCCUCAGCGCCGGAGCGAACGCGGUAAGUUGGCCGCCUGGGGAUUACGACGGCAACGGCAAAACUCAAAGGAAUUGACGGGGGCCCGCACA